rnacentral:rRNA from 1 species
ACCUCGGAUCAGGUAGGGAUACCCGCUGAACUUAAGCAUAUCAAUAAGCGGAGGAAAAGAAACCAACAGGGAUUGCCUCAGUAACGGCGAGUGAAGCGGCAACAGCUCAAAUUUGAAAUCUGGCCCUUUCAGGGUCCGAGUUGUAAUUUGCAGAGGGUGCUUUGGUGUCGGCCGUGGUCUAAGUUCCUUGGAACAGGACGUCACAGAGGGUGAGAAUCCCGUACGUGGCCGCCGGUCUUCACCGUGUAAAGCCCCUUCGACGAGUCGAGUUGUUUGGGAAUGCAGCUCUAAAUGGGAGAUACAUUUCUUCUAAAGCUAAAUAUUGGCCAGAGACCGAUAGCGCACAAGUAGAGUGAUCGAAAGAUGAAAAGCACUUUGGAAAGAGAGUCAAAAAGCACGUGAAAUUGUUGAAAGGGAAGCGCUUGCAGCCAGACGUGCCCGCAGUUGCUCACCUGGGCUCUCGCCCGGGGCAUUCUUCUGCGGGCAGGCCAGCAUCAGUUCGGGCGGUUGGAUAAAGGCCUCUAUCACGUAUCUUCCUUCGGGAUGACCUUAUAGGGGAGGCGCAACACGACCAGCCUNAAC